AAAAUUAAAUUAAUGGGGGUUAAAUUUAAUAAAAUAAAUUUUAAAUAGAUAUUUUAAUGGGGGUUAGAGUAUAUUCUAUGGAAAAAAUUUAUGAAUUUAUAAUUAAAUAGUAUUGUAAAAGAAAUUUGAAAUAGUUGAAAAUUUUUUUAAAGAAAAAGUAAUUUUAAUUUAAUGUAUCUUGUGUAUCAGAGUUUAUUAAUAAAAAUUUUUAGGGGGAAAAUUCUCGAAUUAAAAAGAGUUAAAUAAUUAAUUAAAGUUAUUGUGGUAAAAAUAUUUUUAAUAAUUAUUUAGAAAUGAAAAGUUAUUCGUUUUUUAAGAUAUCUAGUUUUUUUAGAAAAAAAUUUAAUUUUAAGUUAAUUUAUUUUAAAUUUAAUUAUUUAAAUUUAAAAAGAUUUAAUUUUAUAUUUUAAGGGAUAAGCUUUAAAUUAAAUUUCUAUAAAGUUUAUAUUAUAUUAUUAAAAAUUUUAUAAUUUGUAUUGUUAAUAAAAUUUAAUUUAUUAUAAAUAAUUUUUUUUGGGGGAAGAAAAUUUAUUUAAUAAUUUUAGAUUUUUAUAAAAAAAUAAUUUUUAAUUGUAAAAAUUUAGUUAUAAUGAUAAAAUUAGUAUAUUUUUAUUAAAUAAUAAAAUUAUUAAAAUAAUAAGUAAUUUUAAGGAAUUCGGCAAAAAUUUAUAUUCGCCUGUUUAUCAAAAACAUGUCUUUUUGAUUAUAAUUUAAAGUCUAAUCUGCCCACUGAUUAAUUAUUAAAGGGCUGCAGUAUUUUGACUGUACAAAGGUAGCAUAAUAAAUAGUCUUUUAAUUGAAGACUAGAAUGAAUGAUUGGACGAAAUAUAUACUGUCUCAAUGUUAAAAAUUGAAUUUAAUUUUUUUAUUAAAAAGUUAAAAUAUGAUUAAAAGACGAGAAGACCCUAUAGAGUUUUAUAAAAUAUUAAUUUUAAUUAAUUUUAUAAGUUUAAAAUAGUAAUUUAUUUAUUUUUAUUUUAUUGGGGUGAUAGUAAAAUUGAGAAAACUUUUAUUUAAAAUUAACAUAGAUAAGUGAAUUAAUUGAUCCAAAAUUUUUGAUUAUAAGAAAAAAUUACCUUAGGGAUAACAGCGUAAUUUUUUUUUUUAGUUCAAAUAAGAAAAAGAGUUUGCGACCUCGAUGUUGGAUUAAGAUAAAAUUUAAAUGCAAAAGUUUAAAAUUUUGAUCUGUUCGAUCAUUAAAAUCUUACAUGAUCUGAGUUCAAACCGGUGUGAGCCAGGUUGGUUUCUAUCUUUAAUAAAUUAAAAUAUUUUAGUACGAAAGGAUCAAAUAUUUAGAAUAAUUUUAUUAAAUGAAUUUUAUUAAUGAAUUAUUUUA
rnacentral:rRNA from 1 species